CUUGUUUCAAAGAUUAAGCCAUCCAUGUUUAAGUCCAAACUAUAUUAUAGUGAAACCGCAAAAGGCUCAGUACAACAGCUAUUAUUUAUUUGAUCAUAAACAUAGUUACUUGGAUAACUGUGGUAAUUCCAGAGCUAAUACAUGCAAACAACAUGAAUCCCUGUAGCAAUACGGGUAAAACAUGUGCUUUUAUUAGAUUAAAACCAUGUCCAUUUAACGAUGGAUUGUUUUAGAUGAAUCUGGAUAAUUAUGGCUGAUCGUAUGGUCUUGCACCGACGAUAGAUCAUUCAAAUGUCUGCCCUAUCAACUAUUGAUGGUAGUAUAGAGGACUACCAUGGUUGCAACGGGUAACGGGGAAUCAGGGUUCCAUUCCGGAAAAGGAACCUGAAAAACGGCUACCACA
rnacentral:rRNA from 1 species